UACGUAGGGUGCGAGCGUUAAUCGGAAUUACUGGGCGUAAAGCGUGCGCAGGCGGUUUUGUAAGCCAGAUGUGAAAUCCCCGGGCUCAACCUGGGAAUGGCAUUUGGGACUGCAAGGCUGGAGUUUGGCAGAGGAGACUGGAAUUCCUGGUGUAGCAGUGAAAUGCGUAGAUAUCUGGAGGAACACCGGUGGCGAAGGCGGCAUUCUGGACCAAUAUUGACGCUGAGGAGCGAAAGCCAGGGGAGCAAACGGG
rnacentral:rRNA from 1 species